rnacentral:rRNA from 1 species
UACGUAGGGGGCAAGCGUUGUCCGGAUUUAUUGGGCGUAAAGAGCGUGUAGGCGGCUUGGUAGGUCCGCUGUGAAAACUCGAGGCUCAACCUCGAGAUGUCGGCGGAAACCACUUGGCUAGAGUCCGGAAGAGGAGAGUGGAAUUCCUGGUGUAGCGGUGAAAUGCGUAGAUAUCUGGAGGAACACCGGUGGCGAAGGCGGCAUCCUGGACCGGUAUUGACGCUGAGUGAGCGAAAGCCAGGGGAGCAAACGGG